rnacentral:rRNA from 1 species
AGCUCAAAUUUGUAAUCUGGCGGUCUCUGGCCGUCCGAGUUGUAGUCUGGAGAAGCGUCUUCCGCGUCGGACCGUGUACAAGUCCCUUGGAACAGGGCGUCGUAGAGGGUGAGAAUCCCGUCUUUGACACGGACUGCCGAUGCUUUGCGAUGCGCUCUCGAAGAGUCGAGUUGUUUGGGAAUGCAGCUCAAAACGGGUGGUAAAUUCCAUCUAAAGCUAAAUAUGGGCGAAAGACCGAUAGCGAACAAGUACCGUGAGGGAAAGAUGAAAAGCACUUUGGAAAGAGAGUUAAACAGUACGUGAAAUUGUUGAAAGGGAAACGCUUGAAGUCAGUCGCGUCUCCCGGGACUCAGCCUUGCUUCUGCUUGGUGUACUUCCUGGGGUGACGGGCCAGCAUCGAUUUUGACCGUCGGAGAAGGGCCUUGGGAAUGUGGCACCCUCGGGUGUGUUAUAGCCCUCGGUCGUAUGCGACGGUCGGGAUCGAGGACCGCAGCACGCCUUUUUGGCCGGGGUUCGCCCACGCACGUGCUUAGGAUGCUGGCGUAAUGGCUUUAAGCGACCCGUCUUGAAACACGGACCAAGGAGUCUAACAUGCCUGCGAGUGUUUGGGUGGUAAACCCGGACGCGAAAUGAAAGUGAAAAGUUGGGACCUCUGUCGUGGAGGGCACCGACGCCCGGACCAGACCUUUUUGUGACGGUUCCGAGGUGGAGCAUGCAUGCUGGGACCCGAAAGAUGGUGAACUAUGCUUGAGUAGGGUGAAGCCAGAGGAAACUCUGGUGGAGGCUCGUAGCGAUUCUGACGUGCAAAUCGAU